UACAGGGGGGGCAAGCGUUGUUCGGAUUUACUGGGCGUAAAGGGCGCGUAGGCGGCUUGACAAGUCACUUGUGAAAUCUCCGGGCUUAACUCGGAACGGCCAAGUGAAACUGUCAUGCUAGAGUGCAGAAGGGGCAAUCGGAAUUCUUGGUGUAGCGGUGAAAUGCGUAGAUAUCAAGAGGAACACCUGAGGUGAAGACGGGUUGCUGGGCUGACACUGACGCUGAGGCGCGAAAGCCAGGGGAGCAAACGGG
rnacentral:rRNA from 1 species